rnacentral:rRNA from 1 species
GACGAACGCUGGCGGCGUGCCUAAUACAUGCAAGUAGAACGCACAGUUUAUACCGUAGCUUGCUACACCAUAGACUGUGAGUUGCGAACGGGUGAGUAACGCGUAGGUAACCUGUCUGGUAGCGGGGGAUAACUAUUGGAAACGAUAGCUAAUACCGCAUAAUAUUAAUUAUUGCAUGAUAAUUAAUUGAAAGGUGCAAUUGCACCACUACCAGAUGGACCUGCGUUGUAUUAGCUAGUAGGUGAGGUAACGGCUCACCUAAGCGACGAUACAUAGCCGACCCGGGGAGGAGGUUGGCCACACUGGGACUGGAGACACGCCCAAGCCUCUACGGGAGGGAGCAGUAGGGGAACUUCGGCCAUGGGCGGAAGGCCGACCGCGGAACGCCCGGGGGGUGAAGGAGGGUCUCGGGUCGGAAAGCUCGGUUGUUAGGGAAGGAAGGGCGUGAGAGUGGAAAGUUCACACUGUGACGGUACCUAACCAGAAAGGAACGGCUAACUACGUG